rnacentral:rRNA from 1 species
GACGAACGCUGGCGGCGUGCUUAACACAUGCAAGUGGAGCGACGAACCAGGGCUUGCCCUGGGGCAAAGCCGCGAACGGGUGAGUAACACGUGGGUAACCUGCCCCGAUGACCGGGACAACCCGAGGAAACUCGGGCUAAUACCGGAUGAGCUCACGCCACAUCAGUGGCAUGAGGAAAGGAAGCUUCGGCCUCCGCAUUGGGAUGGGCCCGCGGCCCAUUAGCUUGUUGGGGGGUAAAGGCCUACCAAGGCUUCGAUGGGUAGCUGGUCUGAGAGGACGAUCAGCCACACUGGGACUGAGACACGGCCCAGACUCCUACGGGAGGCAGCAGUGGGGAAUCUUGCGCAAUGCGCGAAAGCGUGACGCAGCAACGCCGCGUGCGGGAAGACGGCC